rnacentral:sRNA from 1 species
CGACCGCCGCUCUCUCAGCGGCUAAGGCCACACGGACAGCCGGGUCGAAUGCCGA